AUAUACUACAGUGAUAAAAUAAAUAUCCACAUACAACGAUGGGUUUCCGUGAGUACGAAAGUACGGCUGUGUAGAACAAUAAUGAAAGGGGGGAGAGAGAGAGAGAGCCCCCAGUGCUAAACUUGCCAUUAGUGUAUGUAGCAGAUAAGAGGACCCACUGCAAGCAUCAAUAACCAAGAGCAGCAUCCGCCUCACACCACAACCACUACCAUCAUCGUCGUCAUCAUCAUCAUCGUCAUCAUCAGCGUCAGCCAUUUACUGUUGUAAACAACAACAUCAACACUACUACUACUACUACUACUACUACUACUACUUUUUGGAGUAAUCUUUCUCUUUAUAUAUAUAUACCUGUUUCUGUGGAAGAUUAAUGUUUGAGCACGUGUGUGCGUAUAAAGAAUAAAGGUGGAGCAAUCAGGCAAGAACUUGAAUCAGGACCAGAUUAAAGGGACAGAUAAGAAUAAGAAUUAACUUAACCCCCACCACCACCAUCAGCUAACCAACAAAAAUGUAAGACCCCCCCCAAAAAAAAUA
rnacentral:lncRNA from 1 species